AUUGAACGCUGGCGGCAGGCCUAACACAUGCAAGUCGAGCGGAUGAAGGGAGCUUGCUCCUGGAUUCAGCGGCGGACGGGUGAGUAAUGCCUAGGAAUCUGCCUGGUAGUGGGGGAUAACGUCCGUAAACGGGCGCUAAUACCGCAUACGUCCUGAGGGAGAAAGUGGGGGAUCUUCGGACCUCACGCUAUCAGAUGAGCCUAGGUCGGAUUAGCUAGUUGGUGGGGUAAAGGCCUACCAAGGCGACGAUCCGUAACUGGUCUGAGAGGAUGAUCAGUCACACUGGAACUGAGACACGGUCCAGACUCCUACGGGAGGCAGCAGUGGGGAAUAUUGGACAAUGGGCGAAAGCCUGAUCCAGCCAUGCCGCGUGUGUGAAGAAGGUCUUCGGAUUGUAAAGCACUUUAAGUUGGGAGGAAGGGCAGUAAGUUAAUACCUUGCUGUUUUGACGGUACCAACAGAAUAAGCACCGGCUAACUUCGUG
rnacentral:rRNA from 1 species